CUCCUCGCUCUGUCGUUUCCAUGGUAACAUCUCUGAAACAUUGCUCCUUUCUGAGGAGGUGAAAUGUAAAGUAGCUGGAAUAUUUGAGUGUUUAAAUAUAUAAAUGAAAACAACAAAAAGAUGGUGGAGUGAGUCAGACAUGACAGAAGACGGUAUGUUCUGCCUCCAUUUGAGGCAUGGUGUGACUGGCAGCUGACAUCCUCACCCUGCUCAUGUGCAGCCCGGCCUCUAUUGCCAUGUUUCUUUCAGUCUUUGCCCUGAGAAGCUUAGUGUUGGAUCUGAGGUGGCAGAUAGAGAAACAAGAUCUUUUCAACUUGUGAGACAUCUUUGUCUGAGAUAGUUCCAACUUAGGGUACAUUCAUUGCAGACUCUGGAAGAAUCCUCGGUGCUGAUCCCAACAUGAGAUCUGCUUUGUAAACUUCAAGUACAGUUCAGCAAAGCACCUUUCACUAGAUCUUAAAGAACCAUCCAAGCAUACUGGCUUAAUGUAUGGUGGCCUGAGUUGAAGUUCAACAUUAAAAUAUUGA